UACGGGGGGGGCAAGCGUUGUUCGGAAUUACUGGGCGUAAAGGGCUCGUAGGCGGCCAACUAAGUCGGACGUGAAAUCCCCAGGCUCAACCUGGGAACUGCGUCCGAUACUAGAUGGCUUGAAUCCGGGAGAGGGAUGCAGAAUUCCAGGUGUAGCGGUGAAAUGCGUAGAUAUCGGAAGGAACAUCAGUGGCGAAAGCGGCUUCCUGGACCAGUACCGACGUUCAGGCACGAAAGCGUGGGGAGCAAACAGGAUUGAG
rnacentral:rRNA from 1 species